rnacentral:misc_RNA from 1 species
UUUAAAAUACGGUCGACAGGCCAUGGUUUCCUAAUCCCACAAAUGCGGCUGAUAAAGUUUUCGCUUUUGCCGAUGCCCCCUACUUGCUAAAGCUAAUAAGGAAUCACUUGAUAGAUAGUGGAUUAAUGGUUAAUGAACAGCUUUUGACGACGCGGACAAUAGCCGAUGUUAUUAAUAACACAUCUGCCUCCGAUGUUUCUAUAACAUUUAAGCUGAAUAAUGACCAUCUGACUGUUAAAGGCGCAGAAAGGCAAAAGGUAAAACUGGCGGCUCAGUUAUUUUCGAACACAACUGCUAACGCAAUCUGCCGAUGCUUCUCCCUUGGUCUAGAUGUCUACCGAGCCACUGAGACAGCGGAUUUUAUACAGCUUGUGAACGAUUGGUUCGACAUUCUUAAUUCAACGUUAAGUACUUUCGUCUUAAAUAUGUUUCAAACUGAUUUUAUUUCAUUGUUAUACUACAUAAAAUUGUAUUUUUUUCUGUUAUAUCUGUUGAAUUGGAAGAAAUUUCAGAAAACCCCUAACAAAUGUACUUGACGACCUAGAUGGAUCGAAUUUUGAUGAUAUGGGUACUCUCCAAGUUGAUGCUUUGGAAUACAUUGCUGGCUACACUAUUCGAAAGCUUAAACUUAGAGAAUAUGAAUCUAAAGAAAAUUCGUAUACUUGGGUUGAUCUAGUAUUAAAGGGUAUGUUGAUUAAGCCAUCUUUAGAGUUUCUCGAACAAUUGAAGAAACUGGAAGCGGUGUUUUACACUUUAAAUGGCUUGGAAAUAUCGCACUGCGAUAACAUCCAUCAACGUUUAGUGGAACGAACAUUGAUCUUUCAGACGUUGUUAAAUGUUUUUUUUUUUAAAUGUCGCAUAUACUUCAGAAUCCGCCAUUUGAAUCAAAGGCUCAAAAAACAAAAAUGGAAACAAAGGAAAGUAAGCAAAAAUAUGCUUAAAAUCAAGCUUUAAUAACUGCAAGUUUAUGCAGAACACCUUGCCCUUCUACACUUUACAAAUUGCUCUACGUUAUCUACCGCACACCCGGCACUGGUAAAUUAUAAUUCAUAUUGCCAAUAUAUUGAAUUCCAGAGAGCCUAAGAUUGUCAAUUAUAUAAAUGAGGGAAUUGUAUAAAUGAAAUAAUUUAUGGUUUUACAAUCAAUCAUAGGUCAACAUUAUAUAUCUGUACAGGAUAUACGCAAAUGUGGCCAAUCUCAACCCUCAAAACCCAUUGUCCAUGAGUUGUGUUUGGAACAUGUUUGGACCGAAAAUACCUAUGGCAACAAUCGUGAUUUCUGUAAAAUAUCCUCAAAGGACUUUAUACACACUGAUUUAGUCGGUCAAACGUUUCUUUGCUAUCUUUUGCCACGUCCAUGUAAAUUACAAAUGGUUCGCUUGAAUAAUUUCGAAAAUAAAGAUUUACAAAUAUCUACUACAUCCAUGACGGUAGUGGGUGAUCUAAAGUCCAUAUACACAAUACUCUCAGCAACAAUCCUCCAACUUCAAAAAUUACUAUAAAUGUUACUGCCGCAACACAAAAUAUAUCUCCAAAUACUUCAUUUUCUCGUCGCAUUAGUCUCUUGCCUUCAGAACAAAAACCAUCUCCUACUACAUUAAGAGACACAAGUGGUCCGCUUUGAAAUCAAGAAAGAUCUUCUAUGGACCCAAGAAAGAUUAAACUAAAUUACGUAUAAAAUAUAAAU